rnacentral:rRNA from 1 species
UCGGGAAUUUUGGGUAAUGGGGGAAACCCUGACCCAGCAACGCCGCGUGAAGGAUGAAGUAUUUCGGUAUGUAAACUUCGAAAGAAUAGGAAGAAUAAAUGACGGUACUAUUUAUAAGGUCCGGCUAACUACGUGCCAGCAGCCGCGGUAAUACGUAGGGACCAAGCGUUGUUCGGAUUUACUGGGCGUAAAGGGCGCGUAGGCGGCAUGACAAGUCACUUGUGAAAUCUCUGGGCUUAACCCAGAACGGCCAAGUGAUACUGUCGCGCUAGAGUGCAGAAGGGGCAAUCGGAAUUCUUGGUGUAGCGGUGAAAUGCGUAGAUAUCAAGAGGAACACCUGAGGUGAAGACGGGUUGCUGGGCUGACACUGACGCUGAGGCGCGAAAGCCAGGGGAGCAAACGGGAUUAGAUACCCAAGUAGUCCCUGAGCGGGCUGGCAAGGCGCAU